GUCUGGGGGGUGGUGGUUAUUCAGGGGGUGGCUGCUGCCGAGCUGGGCUGGGCUGCUGAGCUGCUGCUGCUGCUUAAACUCUUUCCUCUUCUGGCUCAGCUGAGGAGGCGGCUGCUGCUGUGGUUGCUGCUUGUUUAAAUCCUGGUGGGGGCUGAGACUGGGUUUAAAGUCAGAGGAGGGGUGGCCGAGAGGAGGGUGUCCUGAUGCGGGGCUGCUGCCCAGCCUCUCGCUGCCUGGCUGCUGCUGUGUCACCCCCAGGAGCAGCUCAUCCUGCAUGUUUUGAUGAUGCGCAGCAGCGGCCGCCGACAGGAACAGGGAGGGCGGCGGCGACGCACCGGACACGCCGCCGCUGCCGGAGGAACCGGUUACAGCGGGCGAGAAGGGGCAGGAGGAGGAGGAGGAAUGAGAGGCGGCGGCCGCUGCCAGGCAGGGGAAGGACCUGGCGUAGCCGGCGCCUCCUACCCCCAACGGCGGGUCGGGGCUGCGGCUGGCGGUCGCUGUCUCUAGGCGCUCGCGUCUGUAAUCCCCCAUUAAAGAGAGGGGGGCCCCUCUGACACGGCCGCGGCCGAGCGGCGGCCCCCACCCUCCCGCGCGGAGCAGACAAAGAUAAUUAGCCUGCCGCGGGGGGCAGGCACCCGCCCGUCCUAAACCCCUCCGCAAAAACCGGGGGAAAAAAAAAAAAAAAAGAAAACCACCUUCUAGAAUAAAGCCCGCCGCCUGGACAUAAUCUCCGCUACACCGGUUAAAAAACCCGAAGCCUUUUGAUAAUAAAUAACCCCCCUUUCAUCCGUUUUUUCUUUCCCAAUCGUCAUUUAACCACCCUCCCUCCCGGCAGGGCAGGCCUUCCUAUCGAGCAAUCGCACCUACAGUAAUCCGCUAUAUCAUCACAGAUACCCGCGCGUAGGUCAUGUAUCCCCUUGGCAGCUCCCCCAUGGCAACCCCUGCGCCUGCCCCCGCUCUCGCUACACAAUAACGUCAGGAGAAGGCAGGGCGUUUCCAGGCUGGGCACCGAGCGGGGAGGCAGGCUGUCAGCGGCCCAUCCUACACGCACCCCCGGCGCCCCGCUUCCCGACGCCGGGCUCCGCACUGCCCUCGCCCGCGGCCGCCUCCCCGCCCCCAAUACCGGCUCGGCGCCGGCUGCAACCCCCUUUAAGAACGCCGGAACGUUCGUCACGGCCGCGUCACAAUGCCCGCCCCGUGCCCGCCCGGCCGACCUCGGUAAGGAGCCGCCGGGACCGCCCCCUCAUGAAUAAUGCACGUACCCGGCCCCGCCCCUGCGCCGAGUCAGCGCUCGCGCUGCCCAACGGCCGCGCGCCCAUCGCUGACGAGCGGGGCGAGCGCUACCACUCGCUACGGGGGGGGCAGGGGGGGAGCUAGCAGCCUCGAACUGACGCCCUGACGAUCUGCUUUUUCUGUGGGGAAGACACAAACUGCCGCUCGAUGACGUUGUCUGGUCUGAGUCGGAAUUACUGCAUCCAUUAGUGGCCGCUGUCAAAGAGUGGAUGGCUGCUUUCCAUUUGGCUGAUGGACCUUUGGACUCACCCAGUAUGUGCCAGGCAUCAGCCUCACCUAAGAGGCCCAUGGUGGAGCCAGGGCUGACAACUCUAUGGGGUUUCAGUCAGAGACUUACCGACAACGAACAUCUUUCUUCAUCCUGUGUUCUGCAGAAUCAUAGUUCAUAUUGUGUGCUAAAUUCUUUGUGCCAAACUGAACCAGCAAUGCUGUAGAAGAGAAAAUGGACAGACAAAUCGCAAUAAACUACACGGCAAUGGUUCCAAAGCAGCUGUGACUGGAACAUGGAAGACAUGAAAGGGAUCCUCAAGGCCGCGGCUUCUGAAUGUUGCCCCCGAGCAGUUAUCGCCUCUUCCAGAAAGUACCACGUACAACUUCAGUUCUUAUUUUAUAAAACAAGAAGGACACCUGCUACUUGUCAGUGCCAGAGAGAAGGUAGUGCGUGAGAGGAUUUUGGUCUGACGUGGUGCACUGUUGUAUUUUUUGCUUGAGCAGAAAGCUCCUAUUAGCAGUUAGAUGAGGUGAAAGGGACUGUGCCAAGAUGCUGCCUGUCUCUGAACAGUCUGUGGGUUUAGUUUCUUUAGAAAGCGUAAGUUUUUGAGGGCAGAAUCUGUAUCUUUUUCUAAUUAGACACCAUCAAACACCUGUUACCAUUUUGGGGAAUAUAUAAUAAGUCAUGAAAUUGAUAAAACGUAACUAUGGUAUGUAGAGUCUUACAUGAAUGCGGAGCUACUUCAGUGCUUCCUCAUUAUGCAAAUUAGUACUGAAAUACCAGAAUAUCAUGAAUCUAACAUAUAAAAAAGAAAAUAACUCAGACUGCUGCCAGAAUCUGCUGUUUACCUCCCAUUCGUUAGUUGGAAAAUCGCAGCGACUGAGAUCUUAAAUACGGGCUGCAAAUAGCACAUUAACAUGAAAAUUAUCUUUGCUCUUACCUCGAUAUUAAAUGCUUCUUUUCUGGCAAAUUUAUACAUAUUAAAAGUAAACAUGGCUACAACUAGUUAGCACUAGCUUCAAAAAACCUUUGUUUUGUGGAGUGGUUCAGCACAGAGAGUCAUGGCCUUCUUGUAAUGCAACAAAUAACUGUUUCCACAGCCCACAAUAUUUAUAGAAUUUUUCCGUGAUUUACCAGUCCAUGUGACCUCUCUUCCAAGUUUCUACAGCUACAAGAAAAUCAGGCUUUUAAUAUCAGCUGCUUCCCCCCCUCCCCGCCCUUUACUAAUUUACUUCAUUUCCCCAUCCUCUUCUCUGUUUUUUUCCUGGGCUCAUUUUUCAGAAUUCUCUGUCUAAGUAGCUCUGUCCUGCGCUCAUCCCAAGGGCUCUGUAAAGGGAUCUAUUUCCGUCUUACCUAUGAUCAGGCUGCUUUAAGGAAGUGCAGUCUGGUGUCCUGUGGUCUAUGACAUAUAUCUGCUUCAUUCCUCAGCUUAAGCUUUGAGAAGGGCCUGCAUAUGCAUUCCAGGAACAGCACAUUGUUAUAACUGGAAACAAAAAUAUAUGACUAGCUGCACUUCUGAUAGAGCUGCUUCCUCCUAACCUUAAAGUUGGCUUUCGUUAAUGGCUUCCCCCCCCCAAAGGGCUGCGGAUUAUUCAUAUAGAAAAGAAGAUGAUGUGGUUUUACAUUUCACAGGAAAAAGAGGUCUGCAGUUUUGUAUCAGUGUGUUUUAUUUACUAUUUCUCUGUUCUCGAUUUUUUAAACUCUGGAAAUAAUGAUCUCCAUACAUUCCCAUGAAGGAGGUAGGCAAGUUUUUUCCUCUCAAUAGUGGGCAUUCUGUUGAUUCACAGUAGCUUACAUAUUUUCCUCAUGCUUUUUUUUCAUAAAAAGAAAAAUUAAUGGUCCAGAUGUAAUAAAAUUGGAAAGGAAACCUUUGUUUGAUCAUUGUGUGUCAGGCUGAAGUUAAAAGCAGAGAAGACCUAAUGCCAUAGAUUGGCGUAAUUUGCUCUGUUCUGUUCUCCUUGUGCCCGUAUUAUAGUUGUUUCAUUUUAAGGGUAAAAUUCUAGACCCCAGUUUUAAAAUUCACAGUAGAUGGGCAGCCCUUUGUCCCUUAUUCAAAGUCCCACUUACAUCACGAGGGUUGUGCUGCCUGCUGAACUUUAAGGAUAUGGGUUCUGGUCACAAGAAUGCAAACCAGUGAUUUACUCUUCCCCCUCCCCUCCGUUUUGCCCUGGAGUUAACCAGCAUAUUAGACUAAUAUUUUCUUACUUCCUAGUGGCUGUUUCUGUUUCUUUUUUGUUUGGGGGUUUUUUGGUAGUGGAACCCAUUAGAGUUUCUCCCAAGAGAAUCACUGCCAAAGUAAACAAACAUCUUCAUGAAAGAAAAAUAAUGUCUGUGGAGUAUUAAAAAUUCCAUGUUUUACAGAAAAGUAUUUAUGGCAACCAACUAGUGAAUUAAAGUGAAUGAAGUCCUAUUUCCAGUGUGCUGCUGCUGCUGUACUAAUUGAAUGUGGCAAUUUCUGCUAGUUUCUCAGCUAUGCAGUACAAGUUCUUGGUAUUAAUUGUAGUUUAGGCUGAAGGAAAAGUAUGAGAUGAAACUCAAUAAAAAGAGGAUUUUUUAUUGUUGAGAAUUGAAUAGUACUGCAUGUAAAACCCAGGGGAAUUGCUGUUGUCUCCAAAAUGUUCUGCAUGUGGUUGGCAAGAACAACAAGGACAGAAGAAAGUUCAGCUAAAAUAUUCAUAAAGGCUGUCUGGUGGAAUGCAUUACAGGCAGCCAUAUACCUCGCUGCUGUUAUCCAUGAGAACUGAUAAUUUUUAACUGAGAUGAAACAUUCUGAGGAACAGGAGGCUGGCAGAUUUGCAGCAUAGAUUGUUUAAAGGUUUAAAUACUGUGACUAUCUCAUCUUAUUGUAAGGCUGUAGACAUAAUGUAAGCUUGAGUUACUGAAAAGUGAUAGAAUGUCUGCAUGUGUAUAGCCUACAAAAUUGUGAAGAGCUUAUUUUCUAUAUGCUGCAGAAUUCUGUGCUCUUACCAUGUUUUGUCCAGGAUUGGAAUAAUUAUCCAGUAGAGCAACUAUGUUUCAAAUUCAGUGAGGAUGAGACCAUCCCUUAUUUCUCUGUUUAGACAGAGGUUUGCACAAAAGGGACUGGUGCUAACUGGAAACGGUUGCCAACGUUAUCAUAGGUUUCAUGACAAAUGCUAAGUGUUCAAAAAGUAGGCGCUUCAGAUGAGAUCUCUCUUUAGUUCUCAAAAUGAUCUGUAGGAUUUUAAAGCCUAUGUUGUUGCUGAUGUACUCACAUAUCAGAUAGCAUUUGUAGUAGUCCUGAUAAUAUGACUGGUUAAUUUGGUUAUAUUGCCAGUGCAUAAGACAAAUGAUUCCUAUGGUAGAGAAUACGAGGAUUUUACUGUUGAUUUUUUCCUGUCUGUCACAUGCAGAAGAACAGUUUGUCCAGCAAUGCCUUCCUCUGUAGUAAGAAUACAGUAUUUUCUAGUCUUCCUUUCUAUGUACAAUUCAGACACAGCUGCCACUAUUUACCAAACGUGAAGGUGGUGUUCACAGCUCUAUGGGUAAGUUUGGGUUCUGUUGUAAAGAAUGCAUAAGACAUCUUUAUUAAUUACAUGAAUGUUCAGUGUGUAUUUAUAUAUCUGGCUACUGUGGAGGCUUCCUGAAAUUUCUGUCUCCAGAAACUAGUGUAACUGACUUGUGCUAAGAACUACAUUUUGGUUCCAGUCUUGGGAUAAUCUGUUCUGGAGGGUUGCACACCAUACUCUGACCACAUGUGAGAGAUGAGCUAAAAGAC